CCGUAGCAAAUCAAGAGCAACUAAAAGGAGGUACAGCUCCUUUAAAAAAGAACACAAUCUCCCCUAGCGGAUUAACAACCCCUAUACCACCUAAACUGUGGGCCUUUAAGCAGCCACCAACAAAGAAUGCGUCAAAGCUCUCCACUAAAAAAAAUCCAAAAACAACAUGACUCCCUUACCUCACAGCAGGCCAAUCUAUAACAAUAGAAGAGCUAAUGCUAAAAUAAGUAACUUGGACUCACUCCUCUCAAGCGCAAGCUCACAUGAUCACAUUACUAACAAACCCAACUAAUACUACAACUCCAACAAGACCAANUAUUAAAUCCCCUGUUAACCCAACCCAGGUGCGCUUACUAGAAAGAUUGAAACCUGCAAAAGGAACUAGGCAACCUCAAGACCCGACUGUUUACCAAAAACAUAGCCUUUAGCCCAUCAAGUAUUAAAGGUGAUGCCUGCCCAGUGAUACAACAUAUUCAACGGCCGCGGUAUCCUAACCGUGCAAAGGUAGCGCAAUCAAUUGUCUCAUAAAUCGGGACCUGUAUGAAUGGCUAAACGAGAUCUUAACUGUCUCUUGCAGAUAAUCAGUGAAAUUGAUCUUCCUGUGCAAAAGCAGGAAUAUCCUCAUAAGACGAGAAGACCCUGUGGAACUUAAAAAUCACGGCCACCCGCACACAAACCCAAACCUACCAGCCCACUAACUUGCAGACACUGACCCGUAUUUUUUGGUUGGGGCGACCUUGGAGAAAAGCAAAUCCUCCAAAAAUAAGACCACACACUCUUAACCAAGAGCAACCCCUCAACGUACUAACGAGUACCCAGACCCAGUACAACUGACCAAUGAACCAAGCUACCCCAGGGAUAACAGCGCAAUCUCCUUUAAGAGCCCAUAUCGACAAGGAGGUUUACGACCUCGAUGUUGGAUCAGGACAUCCUAAUGGUGCAGCCGCUAUUAAGGGUUCGUUUGUUCAACGAUUAACAGUCCUACGUGAUCUGAGUUGAGACCGGAGCAAUCCAGGUCGGUUUCUAUCUAUGACAAACCUCUCCUAGUACGAAAGGACCGGAGAAGUGAGGCCAAUACCCCAAGCACGCCUCCCCAUAAGUAAUGACAACAACUAAAUCACUACAAAGGACAUUAACCAGACUAAUCCUAAAAAAGGACCGCUAGCGUGGCAGAGUUUGGCAAAUGCAA
rnacentral:rRNA from 1 species